rnacentral:rRNA from 1 species
CCUCAAAUCAGGUAGGACUACCCGCUGAACUUAAGCAUAUCAAUAAGCGGAGGAAAAGAAACUAACAAGGAUUCCCCUAGUAACGGCGAGUGAAGCGGGAUGAGCUCAAAUUUAAAAUCUUGCAGCCUCAGGUUGUACGAGUUGUAGUCUAGAGAAUCGUUUUCCGCGUUGGCCUGUGUACAAGUCCCUUGGAACAGGGCGUCAUAGAGGGUGAGAAUCCCGUCCUUGACACAGACUACCAAUGCUUUGUGAUGCGAUCUCGAAGAGUCGAGUUGUUUGGGAAUGCAGCUCAAAAUGGGUGGUAAAUUCCAUCUAAAGCUAAAUAUUGGCGAGAGACCGAUAGCGAACAAGUACCGUGAGGGAAAGAUGAAAAGCACUUUGGAAAGAGAGUUAAACAGUACGUGAAAUUGUUAAAAGGGAAACGAUUGAAGUCAGUCAUGCUCUCCGAGACUCAGCCGAUUCUGUCGGUGUACUUCUCGGUUGGCAGGCCAGCAUCAGUUUUGAUCUGUGGAAAAGGUUGGAGAGAAUGUGGCAUCUUCGGAUGUGUUAUAGCUCUUCUUCGAAUACAUAGAGCAGGGACUGAGGAACGCAGCGUGCCUUUUAUUAGGUUGGCCUUCGGGUACAUACACGC